rnacentral:rRNA from 1 species
GUUUCUCUGUUCACGGGAUUGAUUGGCAUUAGCGGCGAUGAAGGACGUGCAGGAGGACGAUAUGCGUUGUUGUUGUGACGGUGUCUGAAUUGUG